UACGAAGGGGGCUAGCGUUGCUCGGAAUCACUGGGCGUAAAGGGCGCGUAGGCGGGUCUUUAAGUCAGGGGUGAAAUCCUGGAGCUCAACUCCAGAACUGCCUUUGAUACUGAAGAUCUUGAGUUCGGGAGAGGUGAGUGGAACUGCGAGUGUAGAGGUGAAAUUCGUAGAUAUUCGCAAGAACACCAGUGGCGAAGGCGGCUCACUGGCCCGAUACUGACGCUGAGGCACGAAAGCGUAGGGAGCAAACAGG
rnacentral:rRNA from 1 species